GACGAACGCUGGCGGCGUGCUUAACACAUGCAAGUCGAACGGAAAGGCCCUGCUUUUGUGGGGUGCUCGAGUGGCGAACGGGUGAGUAACACGUGAGUAACCUGCCCUUGACUUUGGGAUAACUUCAGGAAACUGGGGCUAAUACCGGAUAGGAGCUCCUGCUGCAUGGUGGGGGUUGGAAAGUUUCGGCGGUUGGGGAUGGACUCGCGGCCUAUCAGCUUGUUGGUGGGGUAGUGGCUUACCAAGGCUUUGACGGGUAGCCGGCCUGAGAGGGUGACCGGCCACAUUGGGACUGAGAUACGGCCCAGACUCCUACGGGAGGCAGCAGUGGGGAAUAUUGCACAAUGGGCGGAAGCCUGAUGCAGCAACGCCGCGCGCGGGAUGACGGCCUUCGGGUUGUAAACCGCUUUCGCCUGUGACGAAGCGUGAGUGACGGUAAUGGGUAAAGAAGCACCGGCUAACUACGUG
rnacentral:rRNA from 1 species